rnacentral:rRNA from 1 species
GUGAGGAAUAUUGCGCAAUGGAGGCAACUCUGACGCAGCCAUGCCGCGUGCAGGAAGAAGGCGCUACGCGUUGUAAACUGCUUUUAACCGGGAAGAAACCCCAGGACGUGUCCUGGGUUGACGGUACCGGAGGAAUAAGCACCGGCUAACUUCGUGCCAGCAGCCGCGGUAAUACGAAGGGUGCAAGCGUUAUCCGGAUUCAUUGGGUUUAAAGGGUGCGUAGGCGGAGCGUUAAGUCAGUGGUGAAAUCCUGCAGCUUAACUGUAGACUUGCCAUUGAUACUGGCGCUCUUGAGUGCGCUUGAAGGGGGCGGAAUGUGCCGUGUAGCGGUGAAAUGCUUAGAUAUGGCACAGAACACCAAUUGCGAAGGCAGCUCACUAAGGCGAUACUGACGCUGAGGCACGAAAGCGUGGGGAUCGAACAGGAUUAGAUACCCUUGUAGUCC